rnacentral:rRNA from 1 species
AGAGUUUGAUCCUGGCUCAGGAUGAACGCUAGCGGCAGGCUUAAUACAUGCAAGUCGUGGGGUAGCGCAGUGUAGCAAUACAUGGGCGACGACCGGCAAACGGGUGCGUAACACGUACGCAACUUACCCACUACUGGUGAAUAGCCCAGGGAAACUUGGAUUAAUACACCAUAUUAUAUAAGGUUGGCAUCAAUUUUAUAUCAAAGCUUCGGCGGUAGUGGAUGGGCGUGCGGUUGAUUAGAUAGUUGGCGGGGUAACGGCCCACCAAGUCUACGAUCAAUAGCUGAUGUGAGAGCAUGAUCAGCCACACGGGCACUGAGACACGGGCCCGACUCCUACGGGAGGCAGCAGUAAGGAAUAUUGGGCAAUGGACGCAAGUCUGACCCAGCCAUGCCGCGUGAAGGAUGACGGUCCUCUGGAUUGUAAACUUCUUUUAUCUGGGACGAAAACCACCUUUUCUAGGGUGCUUGACAGUACCAGGUGAAUAAGCACCGGCUAACUCCGUGCCAGCAGCCGCGGUAAUACGGAGGGUGCAAGCGUUAUCCGGAUUCACUGGGUUUAAAGGGUGCGUAGGCGGGCAGGUAAGUCAGUGGUGAAAUCUUCGAGCUUAACUCGGAAACUGCCGUUGAUACUAUCUGUCUUGAAUAUAGUGGAGGUAAGCGGAAUAUGUCAUGUAGCGGUGAAAUGCUUAGAGAUGACAUAGAACACCAAUUGCGAAGGCAGCUUGCUACACUAUUAUUGACGCUGAGGCACGAAAGCGUGGGGAUCAAACAGGAUUAGAUACCCUGGUAGUCCACGCCCUAAACGAUGAUUACUCGACAUCAGCGAUACACUGUUGGUGUCUAAGCUAAAGCAUUAAGUAAUCCACCUGGGAAGUACGAUCGCAAGAUUGAAACUCAAAGGAAUUGACGG